rnacentral:rRNA from 1 species
GACGGAGGAUGCAAGCGUUAUCCGGAAUUAUUGGGCGUAAAGCGUCCGCAGGUGGCUGUUCAAGUCUGCUGUCAAAGCGCAGAGCUUAACUCUGUACAGGCGGUAGAAACUGUAGGUCUUGAGUAUGGUAGGGGUAGAGGGAAUUCCCGGUGUAGCGGUGAAAUGCGUAGAUAUCGGGAAGAACACCAGUGGCGAAAGCGCUCUACUGGGCCAUAACUGACACUGAGGGACGAAAGCUAGGGGAGCGAAAGGG